UACGGGGGGGGCAAGCGUUGUUCGGAAUUACUGGGCGUAAAGGGCUCGUAGGUGGCCAACUAAGUCAGACGUGAAAUCCCUCAGCUUAACUGGGGAACUGCGUCUGAUACUGGAUGGCUUGAGUUUGGGAGAGGGAUGCGGAAUUCCAGGUGUAGCGGUGAAAUGCGUAGAUAUCUGGAGGAACACCGGUGGCGAAGGCGGCAUCCUGGACCAACACUGACGCUGAUGAGCGAAAGCCAGGGGAGCAAACGGG
rnacentral:rRNA from 1 species